rnacentral:rRNA from 1 species
UAGAGCACUGAAUGUCCUAGGGGGUAUUGCACCUACCGAAGACUAUCAAACUCCGAAUGCCGUCAUCUUAUACUUGGGAGUCAGACUGUGGGUGAUAAGAUUCAUAGUCGAAAGGGCAACAGCCCAGCUCGUCAGCUAAGGUCCCUAAAUGUAAGUUAAGUGGUAAAGGAUGUGGGAUUGCACAGACAACCAGGAUGUUGGCUUAGAAGCAGCCACUCAUUCAAAGAGUGCGUAAUAGCUCACUGGUCGAGUGAUCCUGCGCCGAAGAUUUCCGGGGCUAAAACUUAC